GUAGGCAAAAUAGAAGAGCACUUAAGGUAAUAGUAAAGAAAAGAAAGCAAGCGGGGUUAAGCCAUACUUUGCAGGCUUUUUAUGGCCUGGGGUGGCAAAAUAUAAAAGAAACAAAGAAGAAUAAAAGUAUGAGUGGUAUAGAUGUUAAAAGUGUGUAGGGAAUGUACGAAGUGGAAUACGGCUUGACUCGAGAUGUGAGAAGGAAAAUGAAAAAUCAAACACCCUUUUUUGAUAAAAGGGAUGGCGGAAGGUCCCAAAUUCCACAUUUACUUGUUGACUUUAGCGUUGCCAGUUGCUUUGGACUUCUCUAUUAAGAGAGAUGUGGAGAGAGAGCCUUCCUUCAGGAUGACAUAUGUCUGGUGGUCGGAAGCUUCAGAACAAAAGAGUUUGAAUUGGAAUACGGCGAGCUGGGACCGUCCAUGAAAGCAACAAGAUCAGGUUGUUAAAGCAAAAGGUUGGUGAGGGUCACUGCAUAGUCAUUGUCCAUCAAAGUGAUCUAUGAUCUACCAUACACCUGACAAUAUAUAGUCUUGUCACCCCCUUAAUGAUUUCUUGUUCUUUUCACGACCUUAUAGAAGCUAUGUUCUCAUGAUCAUGCUUCAUUGAUUAUUCUAAUAAUGGAUUAUUAAAUUGGAACUUGAGCCA